rnacentral:rRNA from 1 species
AGCGAACGCUGGCGGCAGGCUUAACACAUGCAAGUCGAACGGAUCCUUCGGGAUUAGUGGCGGACGGGUGAGUAACACGUGGGAACGUGCCUUUUGGUUCGGAACAACACAGGGAAACUUGUGCUAAUACCGGAUGUGCCCUUCGGGGAAGAUUUAUCGCCAUUAGAGCGGCCCGCGUCUGAUUAGCUAGUUGGUGAGGUAAAGGCUCACCAAGGCUACGAUCAGUAGCUGGUCNGAGAGGAUGAUCAGCCACACUGGGACUGAGACACGGCCCAGACUCCUACGGGAGGCAGCAGUGGGGAAUCUUGCGCAAUGGGGGAAACCCUGACGCAGCCAUGCCGCGUGAAUGAUGAAGGUCUUAGGAUUGUAAAAUUCUUUCAGCGGGGACGAUAAUGACGGUACCCGCAGAAGAAGCUCCGGCUAACUCGUGCCAGCCGCCGCCGUAAC